rnacentral:rRNA from 1 species
UACGGAGGGUGCGAGCGUUGUCCGGAAUCAUGGGGCGUAAAGGGCGCGUAGGUGGCCCGGUCAGUUCGUGGUGAAAGCGCGGGGCUCAACCCUGCGUCGGCCAUGAAUACUGCCGCGGCUGGAGCACUGUAGAGGCAGGCGGAAUUCCGGGUGUAGCGGUGGAAUGCGUAGAGAUCCGGAAGAACACCGGUGGCGAAGGCGGCCUGCUGGGCAGUUGCUGACACUGAGGCGCGACAGCGUGGGGAGCAAACAGG